GCCCGGUUAGCUCAAUCGGUAGAGCGUGAGACUCUUAAUCUCAAGGUUGCGGGUGAGUAACAUGUUCAGCUGCUUGAUAAAAUAAAGAACCAAAGUAUUAAUCCUAAUAUAAUAGGUUCGACCCCCGCAUUGGGCU